rnacentral:rRNA from 1 species
UACGUAGGUGGCAAGCGUUGUCCGGAUUUAUUGGGUUUAAAGGGUGCGUAGGCGGUUCUAUAAGUCAGUGGUGAAAUCCGGCAGCUCAACUGUCGAUGUGCCAUUGAUACUGCAGAACUUGAGUACAGACGAGGUAGGCGGAAUUGACGGUGUAGCGGUGAAAUGCUUAGAUAUCGUCAAGAACACCGAUAGCGAAGGCAGCUUACUAGACUGUAACUGACGCUGAUGCACGAAAGUGUGGGGAUCGAAACAGG